GGCGCGGUAGCUCAGUCGGCAGAGCAGGGGAUUCAUAAGCCCAAGGUCGGGAGUUCAAGUCUCCCCCGCGCCA
rnacentral:tRNA from 1 species